GACGAACCGUGCGAACGUUAUUCGGAAUCACUGGGCUUAAAGCGCGUGUAGGCGGGCCGGCACGUCGGUCGCUGAAAUCCCCCGGCUCAACCGGGGAAGGGGCGCCGAUACGACCGUCCUGGAGGGACGUAGGGGGACCUGGAACUUCCGGUGGAGCGGUGAAAUGCGUUGAGAUCGGAAGGAACGCCCGUGGCGAAAGCGAGGUCCUGGACGUUUUCUGACGCUGAGACGCGAAAGCCAGGGGAGCAAACGGG
rnacentral:rRNA from 1 species